CUACGGGUGGCACCAGUGGGGAAUAUUGCACAAUGGAGGAAACUCUGAUGCAGCAACGCCGCGUGGAGGAUGACACUUUUCGGAGCGUAAACUCCUUUUAUAUAGGAAGAUAAUGACGGUACUAUAUGAAUAAGCACCGGCUAACUCCGUGCCGGCAGCCGCGGUAAUACGGAGGGUGCAAGCGUUACUCGGAAUCACUGGGCGUAAAGAGCGUGUAGGCGGGUUAAUAAGUCAGAAGUGAAAUCCUAUGGCUCAACCAUAGAACUGCUUUUGAAACUGUUAACCUAGAGUGUGGGAGAGGUAGAUGGAAUUUCUGGUGUAGGGGUAAAAUCCGUAGAGAUCAGAAGGAAUACCGAUUGCGAAGGCGAUCUACUGGAACAUAACUGACGCUGAGACGCGAAAGCGUGGGGAGCAAACAGGAUUAGAUACCCCGGUAGUC
rnacentral:rRNA from 1 species